CCUUAUUAUUUAUGUAAUAAAACCUACAAUUGACUUUCCUGAGACUUGUAGCAUUCCUUAGACAGGGGAUACCUGCCUUCUGAAACACUGCUCAGAGAAACUGGAGCAAAUAUGCUAUUUUUGAGAUUUAGUCGCCUAUGGGAAGAAAAUCAAAAUUUUAAAUUAGGAAACACUCAGUGGAUUCUGUAAGUUUCUUCAUGGAUAUGCAGAUGAUGAAACUGAAGGGGAGAGAGUGAUUUUCUUAAAAUUGGUAUUCUGAAAUUUAAUGCAGUACUUAUGAAGUCUUUUAUACACUGCCAUUGGAAUGAGUCACUGGACUGUAUUCACCUAAAGUUCAGGUCUGGUCAACAUUUUAGACCCAAAGGUCAACAAACUAUGUAGAUUUGACCCAGAUAACAGAUGCAGUCUGGUACCCAUUUGUGUCAUUUUUAUGUGGCCAAACCUAACUUUGUGGUUUCAUCAUGACAGGCUUUAGUUUGCAGUAGAGAUCUUGUGGCUCAGGAGCCUGAAGAGUUUACUACUCAGCUCUGUGAAUCUUCUUUAAGAUGAUCUUUGAGAAUACCUUUCCAUGUCGUCCUUAAAGCAAGCUAUUGUCAUCCAUUGCUAGCAUUCAGAUUCUCAAGACAAGUAUGUCAUGAGAAAUGAACCUGCAAAGACUACCUGCUUUCUUACCACACUCAUUUCUCCUCACCACUUGUGCCUGCUGAAGUCUCUCCUCAAUCCUCUGCCAAGUGACUACUUGUUGUCUGGAAACUUCUGAGGACACUGGGGAAUCUGGUGGUAACAUGGGCAAGUUGGUGUUCUUUAUAUAAAGUGGGGACAUUUGCUGUUUAAUGAGGAACAACUUCAGAAGAUGCAGAGUGAGUUUUGAUGGGAAAGAGACUCUUCAUGGGCUACUCUAGAACAAACAAUGGAAACGGAUCACAGGAAAGAAUGAAGGACAUGGUUCAUGUCUGAUUCAGGUGAUUUCUACAAACAGUUCCAGGAGCUUUCUCCAUUCUCCCAGUUGAGAUUGGCAUUAUGCUUAGAGAAGAAAAAGCGUCUCAAAAGAAAACUAGUCACUCUUGAGGUAGAAUUGCCUCACCUGAAGAGGGAGGAGGUAUUUUUCCUUUUCUCUGAGUCAAGAACUCAUGAUCACCAUCACCCAACCCUGCUCACACACACCCUGACCACCACGGGUCUCUAGGCACUUUAAAUUCUAUGAUUUAUAUGAACUCUUACAGGGACGCAGCUGUUCUCCUGGGCAUAUUCACAACACGUUUUUCCACCCACUCACCUCCCAAGGUGGGUUCUUAAGCAAGUAGCAAAAUGAGGUGUGGGCACUGACACAAAGACCAAUGAGGCAUUUUAAGAGAAGUUAAAUUCAGGAAGCUUUAGGGAAACAAACAAAAAUAAAUUUUAAGAAAUCUGUUUGCAUGGAAAGAUAAAACAAUAAUAGAAUGAGAGAGAGAGAGAGAGAGAGA
rnacentral:lncRNA from 1 species